UGCCUAUURAAUAGAAUUUUAGGUUUGGUCUGCUCAAUGAUUUAUUUAAAUAGCUGCGGUAUUUUGACUGUACAAAGGUAGCAUAAUCAUUAGUUUUUUAAUUGAAAGCUUGUAUGAAAGGCUGAAUGAAAAAUUUUCUGUCUCUAUUAAAAUUAUAAAGAAAUUUAUUUUUAAGUUAGAAAGCUUAAAUUUAUAUUGAAGACGAGAAGACCCUAUAGAGUUUUAUAAUUUUAUAUAAAAUGAAAUUAAGUAUUUAAAUAAUUUUAUAAGAAGAUUAUUUUAUUGGGGUGAUAAAAAAAUUUAAUAAACUUUUUUAUAUAUUUACAUUGAUUUUUGAAUUUAUGAUCCUUAUUUUAAGAUUAAAAGAUUAAAUUACCUUAGGGAUAACAGCGUAAUUUUUUUUAGAGUUCUUAUUGAAAAAAAAGAUUGCGACCUCGAUGUUGGAUUAAAAUAAAUUAUUGGUGUAGAAGCUAAUAAAUUUGGUCUGUUCGACCAUUGAAAUUUUACAUGAUCUGAGUUUAAACCGG
rnacentral:rRNA from 1 species